GCAAGUCGAACGGAAAGGCCCUGCUUGCAGGGUACUCGAGUGGCGAACGGGUGAGUAACACGUGGGUGAUCUGCCCUGCACUUCGGGAUAAGCCUGGGAAACUGGGUCUAAUACCGGAUAGGAGCCAUUUUUAGUGUGAUGGUUGGAAAGUUUUUUCGGUGUAGGAUGAGCUCGCGGCCUAUCAGCUUGUUGGUGGGGUAAUGGCCUACCAAGUCGAUGAUGGGUAGCCGAGCUGAGAGGCUGAUC
rnacentral:rRNA from 1 species